UAAUUGGACAUGUGUGGGUGGCAUCUUGAUAUUUCUGGAACAAAGAAAAAGCAAAAAAUUUACAGAUCUCUUCAAAUGUACAUUUUCUAUCACAAUUUCUAUUUAAACGCAAAGAGAUCCUUGACGAGAAUUGAAAUUUAUUUUAUUCUCCAUUGCGAAUGAUUAAGUAGAUUCCCAACACUUAUAGACACCAUAUAGACAUAUCAAAUUAAAGUGAUUGACCUUAGAAUUUCAAUCUCCUUUGUCAUGUCUGCAUCUCGUCUUUUUUAGGACUACUAAUUUCUAUGAAGAACCCCAUGAUGAAUAGAAUUACUCAGCUUCUUCUUUGCACAAAAGUUUCCAGUAGCUGCCUCCAAUUCUCCAAAUGAAUAUAUUUUCAGCAUUUCCUCAAUUCCAGCAACUUUAUCUAGGAUAUGCUCCUGUAAUUUCCACAGCUUUCUCCCCUGCCUAUCAUUCGAAGAGGCUUCAUUUGAUCUGGUUUUCCUGUGAUAGAAGAUACAAAGACACAGCACAAGGCAGAAAAUCACUAUAAGAAGCAUCAAUUCCUAUCCCAACAUGAAGUCAUUUAAAGGAUCUUUUAUGCUUUUUAUGUGGAGCACUUGAACUUGGAUUAGAAAAAAACGUUGCCUGAUAGUAUUGACCCGAACAGGAAAAGAUAUAGGAACUACAACAUCUUGGUGGCAAAAUGUCUGAAUUUGAGAUAUUAUUCAAUAGAUUGGUGGCAAAAUUGGAGGAGAAAUGGAGCUCUUUAUUCAAUAGAUUUUAUUAGAUGAUUGUGCAAAGGAUAGGAAGAGACUGAGCAAAGGAUUCUAGGCUGGAUUCUCAUGGUUGGCUAAAAAUAUCAAAUUUCCAUGAAGAAAAUACAGAUUGGUAGGUGUUGAAGGCGAGGAAAAUCUUUUCCAGAAAUCAGUUAUCAGAGGCAGAGAAAAUAAAUGCCGCCAUAGCAUAUUUUGAUGGUGAAACAUGGAAUUGGUAUCAGUAGGCAGAUCAACUAUGAAGAUGGGAAGAAUUGAAGUGUUUGAUGUGGAAUUAAUUUCACCAGAAGAUAUCUCAAUUAUUGAUGAAAUUCCAGUAUGUGAGCCUUGGGGUGGUGAACUAGAAGACAGGGAACUGGAGGACAGAGAAAGAAUAGUCACCAUCACAGAGGAGGAGGAGAAGGAGAAGGAGAAGUAUUGCAAGCCACAUGAUUAUCAAUAUCAGCUGGAUCUAGUGGAAUUUCAGCAGCCGUGGCAGCUACCUAUCAAUUGAUAUCAUGGAGGCAAGGGCACACCGUGAUAGAAAAAAAUUCCUCAACGAGUCAGGUAUGAUGCUUCAUCACGAGAUGUGGAAGGAGGUUAGGAGGGCAUUGAUAAUGGGCUCAUUCUAGGGAAGAUAAUAGAAGAGCAAUUAGUGAAAUUAGUGGAUAUGGAUUGUGUUAGGAAGGUGGCCCAACAAGUUAAUCAAGCCCUAGGCGAAAUGAGCCUAAAUAAAGAAAAGAGAGAUGGCCAAACACAAUCAUUUCACAAAUUCUCAAUCGUUAUUGAGAAAUUUUUUGGUGCUAAGCAUCAUCUGAAGAAGAAAAAAGGGUUAAACCCUUGGGUGAUUAAAAAAAUACUCAAUUAGACAACAUUACAAUAAGGUACGGUAGGUCAAUGAACUUUUGUAGAUGGGGAUGACAUGCUAUGAGCUUUCAAUAGACACUAUAUUAAUAUUAGUGGAUACAUAAAGAAGAUGCUCAGCGACAAGAUAACAAAUGAGCUAGACUUUUUGAUACCUAAAUUUGCAGAGGUAUCUGGACGAGGGAGGGAAAACUCCAAAUGGAGUCAUUACGUAGAAGCUCACCUAAAAUAUUGCAGAGGUAUUUAUGAUGUAUUAUGAGCUUAUUGUGCAUUCAAUAAUUUUGAUAUUUUCUUUACCAUGAGGCUUACGCCUCAAAUCACCUUGAGGCAUAUGCCUCACCUCAAGAAGAACGACUUAGUGCUUGAGCAUGCCUUUCUAAACAUCGAGAAUAAGCUCUGCCAAUAUGUAACAAUCAACACCUGUGUAAUCUCACUGAAACAUUUAAUUAUCUAUUUUUAAAUUGUGAAUUCAGCUGUUAUGGGUAAUCUAUGCAAGGAAACCUUAUGAGUAUUCAAACCCCCAGCUUUUGCACAGGAAUAUCACUAUCUUUUUAUAAAUUUUUUUUUCCUGCUGAAAAUCAAUAUAUUUAGUGAGCCAAACAGACUUACUUUUUACCAUCUAACAAUUACCUGAUAGAUCCGUUUAAUGGUUAUCAACUGACAGUUGGCAUUUAAAGGCAGCUUCCAAUCAAACUCUGGAAAGUGCAUAAUUGGAAGAUCUGAUACCAACAAAAAGAAAAUUUCUCAAGGGAUAUGCAUAUUCUAUCCAUAGAGACACAUGGUACCAUAUGGACAAUAUUGGGCUCCACUGCUAUCCUACUAAUAAGGCAACAUAUUAACAUUCAUAGUGAACAUUGUUGUCACUAUAAAUACGAAAAGUAAGAGCAGCACAACUAUCUUAAAAUCAUUUAACAAUUAGAUUAGGACCACUGAGUUCAUUUAAGCCUGACAAUUAAACUAUAUUCUCAUCCAGUUAUUAGAAUUCAGCACAAGCGUCCCCCUAUAAAUUUGAAGCAGUCGAAGUUCCUACUUGUUCACAUAGCCAGAAAUCUCUUCACACACACUUCUACCCAUUCUUCCAUCUUUUGAUUCUCAAAGGUUUUUAAGAGAAUGGCAAAUGCUCGCCUCUCUAGAUUUAUAAUCGAAGUAGCACCCCCACAGUUUGUAAACCUUAUGAGGCAUCGAGCAUCAAAGAUAUUGGACACAAUUCAUGAAGAGGAAAAGGAUCCCCGCACAAAUGAUUCUCUGUCCCUGUCUCCAAAGAAUUUAUCAACAUCCUCACUCUGCAUCGUUUCAGCUUCAUCUUCUGAAACAAAAAACUCAAGCAUAUUGUCCCCAAAGUUCAAAGGUCUUCGUCUGUAAUCCAUGAUUAGAGUCCUACAUUUUGGGACUAUACACAAUCCUCUGGAAGUUUCAGAUAUAAGAAUAGUCCAUCAAUUUUGGUUCUGUUUAGCUAGUUUGGAUGUCAAAAUAAAUUCAACCAAGGACCAAGACUUGCUGUGACAACAGUACAGAUCUUCCCUGAAAUCUUUUAGUAUGAGGAAGAUCAUAUUGUAAAUCUACUAAUUGGAUAUGCAAACUUAUAGAGUUGGGAUACGAGUUUUUCUUUUCUUCUAUUGCAUAACAACUCUUCCACAUACACGUCCGAAAAGAAGAGAGGCAUCUUCCGGUAGUUAGCAGCAGGUAGGCGUAUAGCUGGACUGAUAACAAAGGUCCAGCCUCUUCUCUUUCUUAACAAGCUUAAUAUACUACAAUAAGAGUUUUGUGUC